rnacentral:lncRNA from 1 species
ACAAACUUAGCAAUUGGCAUUUUGGUUCAUUAAAUUAAGCUUGGUUUAGCAUAUGAUUAAGUGAGCUUAAACAGAAAUAUAAAAGCACAUUUUCUGCUCAUUUCAACCCUAAGAAGCAGCAGCCACAGACCAAAAAACACUCUGAUUCUCUCACUCUUGCAUUUUGCAUUUUGAGAAUUUCUGUCAAAUCCUCCAAACCCUCGAGCUUCCUCUUGUUUUCUUGAUCAUCCAUCAUCAUGGCAAGCUCAUUCCAAGUGUGAAAUCCCACCUGUGCAGCCUCUUC